GAAUGUAGUGAAAAUUACCUGCUUGUUAUAUUCAAUUCUGACAUUGAUGAUAUUUGUAUUAUAAUUCUUGGAUUCUCAAUAUUCUUAUAUUCAGGAUAUGGAUUGAUACCUUAUCAAGUUGUCAAAUGAGUAGUGCUCAGAUUUUAAUGUACACAGCACUGUGAUAUUCCAGCUAGUACACUCACCUUUGUACCAUAUACAUGGGUCUUAAAUAUUUGUGUAUUAAAAGAACAGAACCCUAGAAUAGUUUUCGUUGUAUUUGACCAGAAAAUACCCCGU